rnacentral:rRNA from 1 species
UACGAAGGGGGCGAGCGUUGCUCGGAAUUAUUGGGCGUAAAGCGCACGCAGGCGGUUCGUUAAGUCGGAUGUGAAAGCCCUCGGCUCAACUGAGGAAGUGCACCCGAAACUGGCGAGCUUGAGUACGAAAGAGGAUCGCGGAAUUCCCGGUGUAGAGGUGAAAUUCGUAGAUAUCGGGAGGAACACCGGUGGCGAAGGCGGCGAUCUGGGUCGAUACUGACGCUGAGGUGCGAAAGCGUGGGGAGCAAACAGGG